GCACUGUUGACGAGUCCAAAACAGAACGAAACAGCUGUGCAGUGC
rfam:Echinostoma caproni strain Egypt genome assembly, scaffold: ECPE_contig0000160